UACGUAGGGGGCAAGCGUUGUCCGGAUUUAUUGGGCGUAAAGAGCUCGUAGGCGGUCUGUCGCGUCUGCUGUGAAAACUCAGGGCUUAACCCUGAGCUUGCAGUGGGUACGGGCAGACUAGAGUGCGGUAGGGGAGACUGGAAUUCCUGGUGUAGCGGUGAAAUGCGCAGAUAUCAGGGAGGAACACCGGUGGGCGAAAGGCGGGUCUCUGGGCCGUAACUGACGCUGGAGGAGCGAAAGCAUGGGGAGCGAACAGG
rnacentral:rRNA from 1 species